rnacentral:rRNA from 1 species
CUACGGGAGGCUGCAGUGAGGAAUAUUGCACAAUGGGGGGAACCCUGAUGCAGCAACGCCGCGUGGAGGAUGACGCAUUUCGGUGUGUAAACUCCUUUUAUAUGUCAAGAAAAUGACGGUAGCAUAUGAAUAAGCACCGGCUAACUCCGUGCCAGCAGCCGCGGUAAUACGGAGGGUGCAAGCGUUACUCGGAAUCACUGGGCGUAAAGGACGCGUAGGCGGGUUGGAAAGUCAGGCGUGAAAUCCUACAGCUUAACUGGAGAACUGCACUUGAAACUUCUAAUCUAGAGUAUGGGAGGGGGAGAUGGAAUUAGUGGUGUAGGGGUAAAAUCCGUAGAUAUCACUAGGAAUACCUAAAGCGAAGGCGAUCUCCUGGAACAUUACUGACGCUAAGGCGUGAAAGCGUGGGGAGCAAACAGGAUUAGAUACCCUAGUAGUC